GACGGCCGCUGGCGGCGUGCUUAACACAUGCAAGUCGAACGGAAAGGCCCUGCUUUUGUGGGGUGCUCGAGUGGCGAACGGGUGAGUAACACGUGAGUAACCUGCCCUUGACUUUGGGAUAACUUCAGGAAACUGGGGCUAAUACCGGAUAGGAGCUCCUGCUGCAUGGUGGGGGUUGGAAAGUUUCGGCGGUUGGGGAUGGACUCGCGGCUUAUCAGCUUGUUGGUGGGGUAGUGGCUUACCAAGGCUUUGACGGGUAGCCGGCCUGAGAGGGUGACCGGCCACAUUGGGACUGAGAUACGGCCCAGACUCCUACGGGAGGCAGCAGUGGGGAAUAUUGCACAAUGGGCGGAAGCCUGAUGCAGCAACGCCGCGUGCGGGAUGACGGCCUUCGGGUUGUAAACCGCUUUCGCCUGUGACGAAGCGUGAGUGACGGUAAUGGGUAAAGAAGCACCGGCUAACUACGUG
rnacentral:rRNA from 1 species